rnacentral:rRNA from 1 species
UCGGGAAUUUUGGGCAAUGGGCGCAAGCCUGAUCCAGCCAUGCCGCGUGAGUGAUGAAGGCCUUAGGGUUGUAAAACUCUUUCGUCGGGGACGAUAAUGACGGUACCCGAAGAAGAAGCUCCGGCUAACUUCGUGCCAGCAGCCGCGGUAAUAUGAAGGGAGCUAGCGUUGUUCGGAAUCACUGGGCGUAAAGCGCACGUAGGCGGAUAGUUAAGUCAGGGGUGAAAUCCUGGGGCUCAACCCCAGAACUGCCUUUGAUACUGGCUGUCUCGAGGUCGAGAGAGGUUGGUGGAAUUCCUAGUGUAGAGGUGAAAUUCGUAGAUAUUAGGAAGAACACCAGUGGCGAAGGCGGCCAACUGGCUCGAUACUGACGCUGAGGUGCGAAAGCGUGGGGAGCAAACAGGAUUAGAUACCCUUGUAGUCCCUGAGCGGGCUGGCAAGGCGCAU